rnacentral:lncRNA from 1 species
CGAGCCCCAAACCUUUUGGUUGUAAGUGACUUAGGGCAUGCACUUCUACCACUGUGGUGGCUAUACAUCCGCUCAUUAUAACACAAGGAAUUGUAUAUAUUAUAAAAAUGAGUUUCGUUUGACUUUUUCAUGCCAUGUCAGCAUCUUCUUCAACCUCUAGCUUCUUAUUUUUGUUUUUUUUUACAUUAUUUUUUAAAUCUUCCAUCAUCCAUAUGUCUCUCAUUUCUCAAUCAUUUUUCAUGAAAUAAAG